UACGAAGGGGGCUAGCGUUGCUCGGAAUCACUGGGCGUAAAGGGUGCGUAGGCGGGUCUUUAAGUCGGGGGUGAAAUCCUGGAGCUCAACUCCAGAACUGCCUUCGAUACUGGAGAGCUUGAGUCCGGGAGAGGUGAGUGGAACUGCGAGUGUAGAGGUGAAAUUCGUAGAUAUUCGCAAGAACACCAGUGGCGAAGGCGGCUCACUGGCCCGGUACUGACGCUGAGGUGCGAAAGCGUGGGGAGCAGACAGG
rnacentral:rRNA from 1 species